rnacentral:RNase_P_RNA from 1 species
CUACAAACCCGAGCUAUCGUGUUACACCUUGGUGUAGCAAGGAAAGUCCGGACAGCACAGGGCAAUCUACCGGUGAAGAGCCGGGUUCCGUGUAACAGCGGAAACAGCAAGUGCCACAGAAAAUAACCGCCUGUAACAGGGUAAGGGUGAAAAUGUGAGGUAAGAGCUCACGAUCAGCUAUGGUAACAUAGCCGAAGGGUAAACCUUAGAUGCUGUAAUGCCAUGUAUAGGCUCGCCUGAGGGCGGCUCGUCCGAUGAGCCAGGGUAGGCAGCACCAGGUGAACAGUAAUGUUCAUCGCAGAUAAAUGAUAGCUUAGAAACAGAAUCCGGCUUACGAGGUUUGUAGUUAU